AGGAGAUAUUUUUCCUAGUCUCACCACUAGCUUCGACCUUUCGAACUUUCAAUCUUCUAUUAUUAAUGGAAUCCACUUAACAACCUUUUCCUAUUUUACUCCAUUUAGUCCUAAUCCACAAAAGCCAAACCCACACCUAUUGUUUAAAGCCUGGCCAGUGGCCAUGUAAAUAUAUGCUAUCAAUAUCAUUCUCACUGUUUUUCACUCGGGGGCCAAUUUUUUUUCUCCGAGUCUGAUCACGAGCUUCGACCUUUCGAAUUUUGAAUCUUGAAAAUGGGUCGCAGCAUGGGUUUUUUUGGCAUUGCGCUGUGUGAUUCAAUGGUUGUGGCCUUGAGGGUCGCUAGCUCUCCAUACUGUUUGCUUUGCUGUUGUCCUUUGCUCGUUUGUUACUUUUGAAAAGCAAACCAAUUCCUUAGCCUCAGUGAAAGCUCCCUUUCGCUAAUGGCAUCGCACGUACUCUUGUGGUUGUCGCCACGGCACGUCCUCCAUGUGGCGGUGGGUCCAUUGUCUUUUGCUUUUUAUGAUUUCAAUGCCUUGGAAAAUUGCUUUAGUUCCCAUCCAUUUCCCACCAUCGCCCAAUCAUGUGGUUCUGCCGAUGUCAGGCUGUAGCUAAUUCGUCGUUUUCUGAAAACGACACUAUUCUUUUUUAGUCCAUUUAGCUUUACUAUUAUUUCUCUGUUCACACAAUAAAUUGGGUAAGUUGUUCUCUUCAUACCUCACAUUAUUUUACUUUUAUUUUAAAAUAUUAUAAUAAAUUAGAAAUGAUAAAGCCUGAAACUGUAACCUCACUCGUAAAAGGAUCCUGUGAUCUUACCUUAGCUAAAAAUUAGAGGUUCAUCAGAAUAUCCCAAUAAGGAUCCUCCAACAUUCAAAGGAAAUUAUUCUCUGAUAAUGAUAGAAUAGUGAGAAAAUAGAGACCCUUCUCUUUUUACCUAACUUUAUCUAGUGAAAAAUAAAUAAGAGCAUAUAAUUUUUACAUAUUCUAAAAAUAUUUUCUAAUAGAAUAUAUCUCUUAAUUAAAAAAUAUAUUCUGUUAAGUGAUUAUUUUAUAUUAUAUAAAAAGGCAAACUAAUGUGAAAGGAGUUUUAAAUAAUAUUUUAAAAGAAUUUGUUUUAUAUUAAUUAUAAAUAUUAUGUGAUUGUUUUGUUAAUUGAGUAACAUAUUUUGCAAUAUAUAUAUAUAUAUAUAAAUGCUCGGAUGAUUGGAGUGGUGGAAAAAUCAAAGUAUGGGAGUUGAUUUGACAUUUUUCCAUUAAAUUGCUAGUUUAAUUAUUUUUUUAUUAAU
rnacentral:misc_RNA from 1 species